GAGUUUGAUCGUGGCUCAGAUUGAACGCUGGCGGCAGGCUUAACACAUGCAAGUCGAGCGCCGUAGCAAUACGGAGCGGCAGACGGGUGAGUAACACGUGGGAACGUACCUUUUGGUUCGGAACAACACAGGGAAACUUGUGCUAAUACCGGAUAAGCCCUUACGGGGAAAGAUUUAUCGCCGAAAGAUCGGCCCGCGUCUGAUUAGCUAGUUGGUGAGGUAACGGCUCACCAAGGCGACGAUCAGUAGCUGGUCUGAGAGGAUGAUCAGCCACACUGGGACUGAGACACGGCCCAGACUCCUACGGGAGGCAGCAGUGGGGAAUAUUGGACAAUGGGCGCAAGCCUGGUCCAGCCAUGCCGCGUGAGUGAUGAAGGCCCUAGGGUUGUAAAGCUCUUUUGUGCGGGAAGAUAAUGACUGUACCGCAAGAAUAAGCCCCGGCUAACUUCGUGCCAGCCGCCGCGGUAAU
rnacentral:rRNA from 1 species